UACGGAGGGUGCAAGCGUUAUCCGGAUUCACUGGGUUUAAAGGGUGCGUAGGCGGGCAGGUAAGUCAGUGGUGAAAUCUCCGAGCUUAACUCGGAAACUGCCGUUGAUACUAUUUGUCUUGAAUAUUGUGGAGGUAAGCGGAAUAUGUCAUGUAGCGGUGAAAUGCUUAGAUAUGACAUAGAACACCAAUUGCGAAGGCAGCUCACUACACGUAUAUUGACUCUGAGGCACGAAAGCGUGGGGAUCAAACAGG
rnacentral:rRNA from 1 species